UUUGUGAUCACCCAAGCUAGGAGAUCAUAAGGUAUAUUGAAUUAUGAUGUUUGGUGAUGUUAUGAAAUUUGAUGAACAUCACAAGCUGCGAUUCAGGCGACUCGAGCGAGAAGACGGGUGAUAAAGCCGGGAGCGAUAUGCAUCUAAAAGGGAAGCUCUAAGGUACGUGACUUUAUACUUCGUAGGAUUUCAUUAAUAAAUUUGUAUUUGAUAUAUGUUGAUUAAUGAAGUAAUACUCGUGAAAUUCGGUUCAUUCAUAAGUGAUGGACUUCGCACGAAUGAACCGAAUGGAUAAAUAGUGAAUAAUGAUGUGUUUGGUAGUUCUUAAGUGAUGGAUUUCACACGAACAACUAAACGGGUCAAAGUAGUGAAAAAUGAUAUGUUUGGCUAGUUCGUAAGUGAGGGAUUUCACACGAACAACCAAACGAGCCGAAAGCGUAAACCGGGUAACGGGAACACAGGUUAUGUUAUGAAUGGUGAAACUAAGAUAUGGGUCAAAAUAAGUUUUUCGUUUGGUUAAAGUAAUCAAACGGGUCAAAAUAAAUGCGAAAACGCAAACCAGAUAACAAGAGCGUAAACGCAAGUUUAGUAAACCCGGAGGAGGGUUAAAAUCUGUAAGGAAUUGAUCCUUACAAUAAAAAUGUGGUUAGUAUAGCUAAAUAUGAUAACGGUUGAAUAAGUGCAUGAAUUAAUUGUGAGACAAUAGCGUAAAGUGUAAAAGUCAUUAUUCCGGGUUGCGGAUUUUGAGUCUAAAAUGUGGGCGAUUAAUUUACGAUCAUGUAGUAACAAACUUGAGGCUAAACGGAUAAGUGUAUGAAAAGAUAUGGAAAUUUUAGUACAAAAGGGCAAAACAUGAAAACAAUAACAGCAGCAACCUGCCGUAACCUACGGCAGUACGGCUGUCUGCCAUAGGCUACGACAGACUCAAACUGUUUCUUCUUGUUCAAGUGUGCCCUAGGCUACGACAUCACGGAUGAAGAUUAAGCUAAAUGAAGAAUCGAACACGUCUAAAAGUCAUGUUUCCGCAUUUUGUUCUUUUGAAUAUCAAAUCUAACCAUGAUAGUAUGUUGAAUUGUUUGAAAACCUUAUGAAGUUUUCAUGAAACUCUAAGUCUUGUAAUGAUAUGUUAUAAAGUUUUAUCAAACUUGAAAUUUUAUAAGGAUGUUUAUUUGCAUUUCUUUUAUACAAAUGCAAAACUUUUAUUAAUUCUCAUUUAGUUAAGUACGGGUCUUACACUUUAUUCUGGUGAGUUUAUGAAAUUGAAUUAAACAAAACAUCAUAACUUAAUUUUGAAAUGUAAUCAUACAAUACAUGAAAAUCAUAUUUAUACAACUCCAUUUAGUUAUCCGUUCAACUAAACUUAGACUAUAUAUAUGCUUAUUCAGUUUUCCAAUACACUAAUUAUGAUGUAUUAUGAUAUAGUAAUCGCUAGUCGCUAGUCGGGUGACGAGGUGGGGACUAGCGAUUAAUCAGGGAUUAAUCGGAAUUAAUGGGGAUUAAUUGGGAUUAAUUUGAUUAAUCGACACAUAGUAGGAAUUUUUACAACUAUGAUUAUGACUAAAGUUUAGCAACUUACCUUAUGCAGAUAUAUAAUACGGUACGAAUUAUAUGUGUGUAUCCGGUAUCCCAACACAUAUACGGAGUUGUUUUUAUCAGUUUUACCACCAUGCGUACUACUUUCAACUUCAAGAUAAUAAUAUACUUCCAUAUAAUUAAUUAAACUUCAUAUAUCACAGUUUUGCAACGAAAUUAGCUGGUAUCUCACCUUAGUUUCAUUAAUUUUCUAAAAAUCAGUAUGCUCAUAUGAUUUUAAUCGAGUUUAAAAACAUCUAUUUAAGCUAUUUUUUUACUUGAUUUUGACUAUAAUCGUCAUUUGAUCUCCAGAAAAGAUAAAUCUUAGUUUUAAAUUGUAUAUUGCUUACCAAGUUUAAUGCUAAAUACAAUGUUGAAGACGUUCUUCUAUAAUCCUAUUGCAUCGAUACUCACCUGAUCUUUUUUUUUCAAAUACCACGCUCAAUCACUUCAAGACUCGGACACUAAAGUUGGAUGAUGCUUUUUUCAAAAAGAUUUACUGAUUAGGGGUGUUCAUUAAGUCGAUCGAAUCUCAAGUUAUUUGAAUCGAGUUAGAAUUUGAAGUUUUAAAUAUGUAAUCGAAUUCAACUCAAAAGUUCGCCUGAAAUUCAACUUAUUCGAUUCUAGUUAACUUAUUCGAAUUCGAGUCCAAUUUGGAUUUGUUUGUU
rnacentral:lncRNA from 1 species